UACGGAGGAUGCAAGCGUUAUCCGGGAUUUAUUGGGUUUAAAGGUGCGCAGGCGGGCUUUUAAGUCAGUGGUGAAAGACUGCCGCUUAACGGUAGUCUUGCCAUUGAUACUGAGAGUCUUGAGUUUGGAUGAGGUAGGCGGAAUGUGCAGUGUAGCGGUGAAAUGCAUAGAGAUUGCACAGAACACCGAUUGCGAAGGCAGCUUACUAAUCCACGACUGACGCUGAGGCACGAAAGCGUGGGGAGUCAAACA
rnacentral:rRNA from 1 species